AAUGUUUGCAAAAAAAGAAUUCUCUUUUAUCUAUCAGAACUCGAGCCUCCCGCUCCCGCUCCUCGCUGCUCCCCAUCUCCAUCGCCGUCUCCUCCGCUACUGCUACUAACUCCGCCGAGGCCGAAUCUUUGGUACAAGCCCUUCCCUCUUUGAAUUCUAUGGCAGCUAUUUAAUUAUAAGUUUAAGUAUAUGACUUACUUUGUGAUUUAUUGUAUUCUUCCGUAGUUCAUGAAGUUGGAUAACAGUUUAUCUGAUGACAACAGCUUUUUGGUAAGAACGGAACAUAGAAUACGUUUGCUGGAUUUGUUAUGAUUAUAUACUCUAGGGUUUUUAACUUACGCAUUAAUAGUUUUAUCAUUUUAUUUAUUUAUUUUUAUUUUUUUUGUUNGAGUAAGGAUGGGUUGUGGUUUAAUUCGUGUAAGAUGGGAUCAGUUACAUAUUAAAGUGGAAUUUGCUGCUGUGAAGCAGCUACAACUAUACAAUCAAUCGAAGGGAUGGAUCAAAUCCAAUCAGAAAAAGGAGGUUUCAAUUAGAAUUUUUUAUUAAUCUUUUUAUCUCUGAGAUAAAAAUAUCUCACAGAUAAGCAAAUAAGAAAGAAGAUAAACGAAAUGGUUGAAAUUCAACCUUUUGUCUUACAAAUAGAAUGACCCCGUAACUGGUUUUACUGUUUUAAAAUUGUCUUGAAGAUUCCUGACUGAUUUUGAAACCAACAUUCCGGAAUCUUACCAGUAGGCAGAUAAAUGGUUGUUUCUGAUUUUCCUUAUACAACAUUUCCAUUGAUUUUGAUGUCUAAGAGAGCGAAGGAAUAUACAGGUAGGUCUAAGGGAUGAUUUGAUGUUUAAGUAAGAGAGCAAUGUGAUAUCCAGGUAGGUGUAAAAGAUGGUAUUGCUGUUCUUGUUGUCAUUUAUAUUUCCUGUUCACAUGGAUCUAGACCCCCCUUUUGAUCAAUUUUAGUGAAAUAAAGAUUGAAAAAUUUUGUAAGGUAUGUAUAUAUACUUCAGUAAAAACUACUACGUAAUUAAGACUGCCCCCAAUGACCCCAUGCAUUCACUCAUCGUAUAGAAAAGGCAUUUGGAGCAUAGAAUUUUUAUUAGCCAGAAUCUGCGGUAAUGUCCGUUCUUUUCGUUUUUCAUUUUGUUUCACUGUUUUCGGUGGGUCUUCAGUGUUAAUUUCGUGGUUACAAAUUUUAAUAUUGACUGUGAAAGAGUUAUUCAAUUUUGAAGUGUAAAUUGGCUCACCUCUGUAACUGACUAUUAAGGCAGGGAUGUGGGCUUUGAGUCAUUAAAUGACUUCGUGAAUAGGAUUGUGUGAAGGUGUUGAUGGACUUUAGACGGUUCUUGACUGGGUGAAUCUCAGAACUUCAUUGGAUGAAUUUCGAGAUGCUUCUCGAAUGCUGACUGACCAUAUUGGGCAGUUGGACCAGUUGUGCUGGUCAUGUCACAUGAUCUUGGUUCCUGGAUUGUAGAGGACUCUCACUGAUGGCAGCCUCCCUCUUUCUUAAUUGGGAUAGGAAUUUUAUGUGCUAUAUCGGAGACUUAAUUUAUGCUUAAGAUACCAUUAGAUGGAUUAAGCAAAAUGUCUUAACAAAAGGCGGUUGAUAGGAAAUUAUUUUUAGGAAACCUGGUGAAGUCUGUUUGGUUGGAGAAGGCGGUGACUGAAAAUUUUGAUGUUAGCCAGUUAAAGGAUUAAGGCAUCGACGAAAGUGCAAUUCUAUUCUUGGGGGUUUAAUGCAAUAUGGCUCUAAAGUUUAAAAUGUUUAGAAGAUGUAACAAAAGAUGGGUCCCCCUUGAACAUGUUCCUUGAUGGGGUAGGCUAUCUCUCUUUACAUGAAAUCCACAAUACCCCAACUUCACGCAUGUUGUGCAGUUUAUUUUGUUAAUCCACUAAAUUAGACAGCUGCCCCUGGCUUCGAUGUCAGGGUCCAUAAGUGAUAUACCCGGUGGCCUGUGGCAGAUUUUGUUGUAGUUUUUUGCUGGCGAGAUCCUUACGACGAAAACCCUAUACUUCAUAUUACCCAUGCUUGGCAUUUAGAGUUCAUUCCUCAUUGUGUUCUUUUAUGUUUUUCUCUACGGAGUUUGUUUAUUAAUUUUGAAGUCUUACACACCCUUUGUCGUUCUUCAUUGCUGACCCAGUCAUUUGUUAGUCAUUUUCUGUCAUCAUUUUUUUACUGCUGUCAACAAAUUAUUCAAGCAUUUUAAUAGUUGCCUUUGCCCAAUUUCAUUGUAAUUAUAAGUUCCAUACUAGUCUAAAAGAUGUGAACUCCACAGCUCUUUCGAAUCAUGUAAAGGUCAGAACUUUAAUCAUUGGGAAUAAGGAAUGAGAUUACUAUUUCUUGUUGCAAAGCUUACCCAGGACUAAAUUUCUGUUUCCUGGGAUAUAAAAGGCCAAACUUGUUUCUUAUGGUUAAAAUUGAAUAUUAAAAAAUUAUCGAGGUAGUCUUGUUUUUCUUACAAUUUUAAGUAAGCAAGAAUAAAUAGGCUGUGGAAAAACAGUUCUAUCUUAAAGUAUUAACUGUUUUAAAUGAAUUUUUUUUUCAGAUAUUCCAUAAUAGGUACUUUGCGACCCAGAUCCUUUUUUAAUUUUUGUUUUCUUUUCAUCAACAUAACUCUUUACCCUAUUGGAAUGUUUCAGAGGGAAUCAUGCCUAAGGUGAAGACGAACCGAGUAAAAUACCCUGAGGGUUGGGAGUUGAUUGAACCUACUCUACGUGAACUACAAGCACAGAUGAGAGAAGGUCGUUAUUUUUGUUUAUAUCAUACCAAAUUACCUUGAAUAUUUUUCUGUUAUGUUCAAAUUUCAUAUUUAAUGUUACCUUUUUCGCUUCUGGCAAUUUUUUGGCAGCUGAGAAUGAUCCACAUGAUGCUAAGAGAAAAUGUGAGGCCUUGUGGCCUAUUUUUAAAAUAGCCCAUCAGAAAAGUCGCUACAUUUUUGACCUUUAUCACAGGAGGAAGGAAAUUUCCAAGGAAUUGUAUGAGUUCUGCUUGGAUCAGGGUUAUGCAGAUCGUAACUUAAUUGCAAAGUGGAAAAAGGUUGGUUAACAAUGUCCCAAUAUUUAUCAUGGUACUGGAAAUAUGAGUUCUAUCAUGUUUCACCUUUGUUUUCUGAUUUUUCUGUGCAAUCUGUUCGCUCUCUCUCUCUCUCUGGUAAAUCAAAUUAUAACUUUUCGUGUGCUCAUUUGCAAAUUCUAAUAAGAUCAUUGUACAAAAUGUUACUGUAACUACUCAGGCCCCGUGCCCGAUCGUUCUUCUACGUACUGUCCGCUUUGAAAGAGCAUUCACCCACUUAUUCCUUGCGACUUUCUGUCGCAUUUCUCAGAAUUCAAACACAUAACCUCUCUUUAAGAGAAUCGGGAUUCAACUUAAGUCAUUCUUAAGGGAAAGGUCAAAAGUUCGAAUACUGGAGACACGAUAGAAAUUUGUGAGUGAGUAAGUGGAUCGAUAUCCUCCCAGAGUAGACAAUGCGUAAGUUAACGGUUUGAGCAUAGAGGCCGGGUCGUUAUAGUUACACACUCAAAAGAAAACAAUGGUUUAAAGAGGAAUAUUUGCAGUGUGACACAAUUCAGCUUGUUCAACUUCUAAAUUCUUGGGAAAAUCAGAAGGUAAUUUGCUUUUGGUUAUUGUGAAAUUGGAAGUAUGCAGUGUAGUUCUCUAGAGGUGCUCGUAUAUGCUUACAUUCCAAGCUUUAUACAAUGAAUUCACAUACAAUUUUUGUCUUAACUGCAGCCUGGCUAUGAAAGGCUCUGCUGCUUAAGAUGAAUGCAACCUCGGGAUCAUAACUUUCAAACUACGUGUGUGUGCCGAGUGCCAAAGCAUCUGCGCGAGGAGAAAGUUAUAGAAUGCAUGCAUUGCGGUUGUGGGGGCUGUGCAAGUGGAGAUUGAGGAGUUCAAAUAGACGGCCCAAUUCAAGCUACACGUAUCAGUGGGGAUAAAUGUAAAUCGAUGUAAAAGAGAUUUAGAGAUAUCCUCUUUAGGGAGAAAUCUUGCCUCUAGUAUGUAGUAUGGUCUCUUUGUUGUGAGGGCUAAUGAAAACUUGCUUACUCGUACCUGAUUUAGAAUUAUCAGCUCUAAUUUCGAAACAACUAGGAAAUGUUUUAGAACUUUUGUACCAUAAAUGCUUUUGAAAUUUCCUUAAUCUAUGUCUAGCAAAAUUUAGAAUUGCUAUUUUCGUUCCUUGUUUGUCACAGUUUUUCAGUAGUUUAAAAAACAAUAGUUUGUUUUUUUUUUAAGUUAUUUGUGAAUAGUUACCCAUUCAAUAGUCUUGCUGGGGGUAGUCUUCAGAAUGGUUGAAAAAUUAGUUCUUUUUUCCACAAUGGUCUUUAUAAUAGAAAAUAUUAUUUUACCCUUACUUUUAUUAUUUACAAGAUGUAUCCUAU
rnacentral:lncRNA from 1 species